CGUGAGACAAGUGAACCUCCCUGCUUAUAGGGGCGAUGAGCCCAGACCCCCUGGUGCUUUUCAUGGUGAGCUCUCCCGUCCCGGACAGAUGUUGCGUGAGGAGCUUGGCUCACAGGAGGUGAGAAACUAACAGUCAGCUUCCCAGGAUUCUACUGAAAGACUCCAACAGCUGCCUUUUCUUAGCGUGACGAACCCAAUGUUACAUUUGUGCGUGACGUGAAUAGAAUUCCAUUCGCUUAAUCCUGAGUGCCUCGAGACUGCCGUGAGCUGGAGCCUGGGGCCGAGCACCCCGAUGGAGCAGUGUCUCCAGAGGAAGGACGCGAGGCCAGAAGAUCUCCUCACGGCCCCCAUCGUCCCUCCCACCAGCCUCCAACUUCAAAGUGAUCUUAGAGUUUCCGUUAUGAUCCUGAACGGCAGCCUGAUGGCUGGUCUAGCACAGAACUGCCUGGGAGCCCUGUUUUCCAAGAACAGCGUCGCCGUUGUGGGUUUGGAGCUGCGGAGGAGGGAGGGGACGUCUUGCUCCCUUCGCUGUGCAGGGACUGUUCAAAUACCUGACGGUGAAGUGGGGCAGCCUUCCCCAUCACAGAGGUUUGGGCAAGGAAAGGAGCAGGAAUCUUCUGAUUUUAUUAGACUUUCUUUCCUUUUCCAACAUUGGACAUAAUCUUUAACUAUCAGGGAAAAUGUUACUUUCAAUGUGUUUUACCAAAAUCCAGUCUCUCUUUAAGGGGUAUUAACUCCGAAUUAAAAGCCCUAAAUCACAUAGCUGCAUGAUGUCAUCGUUAUAUGCUUUUUAAAUCAGCUGCAUCCUUCCCAGCAUACAAACUGAUUUUCUUGUCCCUGUGUCCUCAUUAAGCAAAACAAAUCAGGGUCCACACGCGGAAUCUCUGCCACAGGACUUCGUGUGCAGCUGUUCUUAAAGGAAGUUCCAGGAGAGGAACAUGUUUGUGUUCUUUAAAAAUUACUGCACCAGAAGUUAGCUCAGAGAAUGACUGCUGUCCUCAUUUCUGGUAAUUAUGAUUCAGAGCGAGCAGAGGAACAGGAGCUGGGAAGAGGAUGCGAUGUCUGCCAUGUGCCCGUGGGAUGUCCUGCUCGUGGGCUGUGGGUCUCGCCUCCGCCCCUCAUCACUCUCCGACGUCGGGACAUGCUCGACCCCAGGCUCAAGCCCACUUACUCUGACACUGGGGUCUGUACUUUUCAUUUCACCAAACUUAGAGAAAGCGAAAACCUACACUCAAUUAAAACUUUUAUUCAUUCCAUGCUACACCCAAGAUACUGAUAGAAUUGCAAAUGACAAAUAAAAGAAAAGCAAAAAGAUAUAUGGGAGUAUAUGAGGAAGCCAUUUGGUUUAAAAUUAAUUUGACCUGAAUUUAUUUUUCCAAAAGGGCCUUACGUGACCUGUUGAGCAUGCGUUGUGCAUCUGCUUUAAGCAUUUACUGUGUCCCAAAAAAAGAAUAAUGCCGUUAAAGAUAGGGAUGUACUUCCCCCAUGUUGGCGUUUCUUUAAGGAUAAGCCUCUCUCCCUAAACCAUGGAUUAAUUACUGACCUGCUGUGCUCACCUUGUGACCACUGACCUGCUGUGUUCACCGACCUGCUGUGCCAGCAAAGCAAUCUUAUGACGAUUGUAAAAGGGACAUUCCUGUCACACAUGAUGUGUGUUCUUUGUUCCAAGACGGUAUAAAACCGUUCUGUACACCCCACUUCUUUGGUGCCCUUCCUUCCUUGGGGAAGUCUAGCCUGGGCUAGUCCUCAGAUCUGGCUCAUAAUAAACUCACCCUAAUUUUGAUUUAUGGAUUGGUUAUGGAUUAUUUGUGUUGACACAUAGUUCACUGACUAUUCCUCAUGUGGGAAGUACAAAAUUCUGUAGCUUUGGGAAUCUUAAUUCUUGAAAUAUAAUUUCUUGCUUGUGCUGAACUGCAGCCCUGAUUACAACUCACAAGCUGUGUGGUCUUGGCAGGCCACUGAACCUGGUCCGUAUCUACCUCCCUAUCAAUCUGUCUGUUUCCAUUUGUAAAGGAGAGAUGAUUGCACCACCUGCCCAGUGAGUUUGCUGCACAGGUGACCUGAGACGUUCGUAUCGAGUGCCUGGUGCAGACCCAGGCUCAGACAAGCCCGUCACACCCAGAACAUCUGGAAAGCAGAGGCCAAGCGGCUAGCCCAGGUCUCGCAGAGGCCCAGAACGCGUCUGAAAGGGACUGAGCUCCUGCACCAGGGACGAGGCUGCAGACGCCACGGCCCCGCCCUGCACAGUCUCCUCCCGGCAGGACCGGGGUCCCGUGGCCCCGCACCCCUGGCCUGCUGUUGUGUGGCCCUGCUCGUCCUUCUACUGUGCUCUCCAUGCUCGGCCCUCAGUCCGUGGCGGCCUCUGGGAGCCUGUGGAGCACAGGGCCCGGGUCUGCCUGCACCCGGCUGCCCACAGCUGAUCGCCAGUCAUCUCCCACAAAGAGCUCUUCCAUCUCCAGCGAGGUCACGGCCUCCUAACAGACGCUAUCCUUGUCUUUAUUGCCGUGAACUCCUGCGUAUUUAAAGAUCAUCACUGACUGCGCCCCUCACCGUUACUUUCCAAGGUGAAGACCUUUAGUUGUAGGCAGAUCGUCACAGAAUCUUUGUGUUUUUGCAAAUGACACAUCUGGAGACAUGAGGGUCGGGGGCCUCCAGCCCUGUGAUUGCUUGCUGUCCGCUCUCUGACAGACCACAUAACCCCGGAGCCUUACAAUGAUCUGGGUAAGACUCUUGCGUCAACAAGGUAGUGUCUGUGGAGGUGAUAGCUGGAGGUGUGCCAGCUGCCAGGGAAGCAAGUGGGGCAGAGCUGCAGUGGUCUGUGCCCCACCCAGCACCCUCGGCUCUGAGCGCGCCUUUCCUGGAGAGAGAACGUGGCCCAGCCCCUCAGGGCCCCGCACAGCUCUGUUAUCUGCGAGGCUAACUCGGGAGCCCCG
ensembl:lncRNA